GGUAGCAUAAUCAUUAGUCUUUUAAUUGAAGGCUGGAAUGAAUGGUUGGACGAAAUAUUAACUGUUUCAAGUAAAUUUAUUAUAGAACUUUAUUUUUUAGUCAAAAAGCUAAAAUUUUUUUAAAAGACGAGAAGACCCUAUAAAUCUUUAUAAUUUAUUUAUAAUAAUAAUAAAGAAUAAUUUUUUUGUUAUAAUUUAAAUUAUUUUAUUGGGGUGAUAUUAAAAUUUAAUGAACUUUUAAUAAAAUAAAUCAUUAAUUUAUGAUUUUUUGAUCCAAUUUUAUUGAUUAAAAAUUUAAGUUACUUUAGGGAUAACAGCGUAAUUUUUUUGGAGAGUUCAUAUCGAUAAAAAAGAUUGCGACCUCGAUGUUGGAUUAAGAGAUAAAUUUGGGUGUAGCCGUUCAAAUAAUUAAGUCUGUUCGACUUUUAAAUUCUUACAUGAUCUGAGUUCAAACCGGCGUAAGCCAGGUUGGUUUCUAUCUUUAAUUUAUUAAAAUAUUUUAGUACGAAAGGACCAAAUAUUUAAAUUAUAAAAUUUUAAAAAAUGAAUAUAAUUAAUAUAAAAU
rnacentral:rRNA from 1 species